ACGGCGAGUGCGGACGUACAGCAGCCUUUUGACAAGACUGUCGCCGAGUGUACGGUACAUUGUGGACUGUAAAGCUGAAGAGUGCGCAGUGGAUGCCUGAUUUUGGAACCGAGUGUGAUCGUCUGGGCGGUGUGUUCACUCUGCGGGGAUGAUGGCCAGAGGAAGGAUGAUAGACAGACGACAGCUUGCAGAAGAAGAUGGGAGCA